UCUAAGAAAAACAGGUAAACGAGUACAAUGACAGCAGUGAUCAAUUUCGCAACUAACGCCACUAAUUCUUCGAUUCUCUUGUCUAUCUUGUCCGCUGCCUUUAGAAUAGACGAGAACAAAAGCCAAUGCUGAAGUGAGGAAUGAAGUUCUUUAAGUUUGUUAUCUCCAAUAAUUGAAUUUUAAUCAAAAAUUCACAUAAUGAAUGUCUUUAUCUCACAUGUGGAUGGAUACUAAAAG